UCUAGAACUCGAGAUAUGGGCUAAAUACUGAACAGUGUCUGGGCUACAAGACAGAUUCCAACUUCUCUUUUGUUGCUACAAUUUGAACUUGAAAACGACCGUUUUGAAUCUUGGACUCUUAUGAAAGUUUUAGGCCUAUGUCUUAGCUUUCCAUC
rfam:Populus trichocarpa scaffold_2_contig_150, whole genome shotgun sequence.